rnacentral:rRNA from 1 species
GACGAACGCUGGCGGCGCGCCUAACACAUGCAAGUCGAACGAGCGAGAGAGAGCUUGCUUUCUCGAGCGAGUGGCGAACGGGUGAGUAACGCGUGAGGAACCUGCCUCAAAGAGGGGGACAACAGUUGGAAACGACUGCUAAUACCGCAUAAGCCCACGGCUCGGCAUCGAGCAGAGGGAAAAGGAGCAAUCCGCUUUGAGAUGGCCUCGCGUCCGAUUAGCUAGUUGGUGAGGUAAUGGCCCACCAAGGCAACGAUCGGUAGCCGGACUGAGAGGUUGAACGGCCACAUUGGGACUGAGACACGGCCCAGACUCCUACGGGAGGCAGCAGUGGGGAAUAUUGCACAAUGGGGGAAACCCUGAUGCAGCGACGCCGCGUGGAGGAAGAAGGUCUUCGGAUUGUAAACUCCUGUUGUUGGGGAAGAUAAUGACGGUACCCAACAAGGAAGUGACGGCUAACUACGUG